UUCGCAAUGCCCGAAAGGGUGACGAAGCGACGCCGCGUGCGGGAAGAAGGCCUUCGGGUUGUAAACCACUGUCGGGAGUUAAGAAAUGCAAGGAUAUGAAUAGUGUCUUUGCUUGACUAAGGCUCCGGAGGAAGCCACGGCUAACUCUGUGCCAGCAGCCGCGGUAAUACAGAGGCGGCAAGCGUUGUUCGGAAUUAUUGGGCGUAAAGAGCACGUAGGCGGCUAUGUAAGUCGGUUGUGAAAGCCUUCCGCUCAACGGGAGAACAGCAUCCGAUACUACAUGGCUUGAGUGCGGGAGGGGAGAGUGGAACUUCUGGUGGAGCGGUGAAAUGCGUAGAUAUCAGAAGGAACGCCGGCGGCGAAAGCGGCUCUCUGGCCCAUAACUGACGCUGAGUGUGCGAAAGCUAGGGGAGCAAACGGGAUUAGAUACCCCGGUAGUCCUAGCCGUAAACGAUGGGCACUAAGUAGAGGGGUUUUA
rnacentral:rRNA from 1 species